UGGGGAAUUUUGGAUAAUGGGCGAAAGCCUGAUCCAGCAAUGCCGCGUGUGUGAAGAAGGCCUUCGGGUUGUAAACACUUUUGUCCGGAAAGAAAUCCUUGGCUCUAAUACAGUCGGGGGAUGACGGUACCGGAAGAAUAAGCACCGGCUAACUACGUGCCAGCAGCCGCGGUAAUACGUAGGGUGCAAGCGUUAAUCGGAAUUACUGGGCGUAAAGCGUGCGCAGGCGGUUUGCUAAGACCGAUGUGAAAUCCCCGGGCUCAACCUGGGAACUGCAUUGGUGACUGGCAGGCUAGAGUAUGGCAGAGGGGGGUAGAAUUCCACGUGUAGCAGUGAAAUGCGUAGAGAUGUGGAGGAAUACCGAUGGCGAAGGCAGCCCCCUGGGCCAAUACUGACGCUCAUGCACGAAAGCGUGGGGGAGCAAAGCAGGAUUAGAUACCCUGGUAGUCCACGCCCUAAAACGAUGUCAACUAGUUGUUGGGGAUUCAUUUCCUUAGUAACGUAGCUAACGCGUGAAGUUGACCGCCUGGGGAGUACGGUCGCAAGAUUAAAACUCAAAUGAAUUGACGGGGUCAUAGCUG
rnacentral:rRNA from 1 species